UACAGAGGUCUCAAGCGUUGUUCGGAUUCAUUGGGCGUAAAGGGUGCGUAGGUGGCGCUGUAAGUCGGGUGUGAAAUUUCGGAGCUUAACUCCGAAAACUGCAUUCGAUACUGCGGUGCUUGAGGACUGGAGAGGAGACUGGAAUUCAUGGUGUAGCAGUGAAAUGCGUAGAGAUCAUGAGGAAGACCAGUGGCGAAGGCGGGUCUCUGGACAGUUACUGACGCUGAGGCACGAAAGCGUGGGGAGCAAACAGG
rnacentral:rRNA from 1 species